rnacentral:tRNA from 1 species
GUGGGUAUAGCUCAGUGGUAAAGCGCUUGCUUAACAUGCAUGAGGUCCUGGGUUCCAUCCCCAGUACCUCUG